ensembl:processed_transcript Gm9967 predicted gene 9967
AGAGGCUAACCCGGGCCUGAUUGCACCUCUGCUGCUCUGCUAUCUCUGGUGCUCGAAGAGACAAGGAUCCUAACCCGGCAUGGGGCUAAUAAGAGGGUGUUAUCUGUAUGCAAACCCCUGGGCAAUAGUCGUAAUUGUCUUCGUUUAUCCACUGACCACUGUCUCACAAUCCUGUAGUUUCUCCAUUUGACCAGCUUCCUGAGGCUUGGAGAAGAGAUCCUCUCCAGAGAUUAUCCAGAUGGCUCAUGACAAUGGGGAAGAAGGAAGAAGCCAGCCCAGGCGUUAUCUCUGCCCCUAAGCUGUUAACGUCGAGGCCUCCUUCUCAUGCCCUCUUGACUUCUAGCUAUGGGACCAAAGUAAUAUGGAUUAAAACCUCUGGAA